rnacentral:rRNA from 1 species
UAGAGAUUGGGAGAAACACCAGUGCGGAAGGCGACUAACUGGACUGUAACUGACGCUGAGGCGCGAAAGUGUGGGGAGCAACCAGGAUUAGAUACCUUGGUAGUCCACACUGUAAACGAUGAAUGCUAGGUGUAGGGGGUAUCGACCCCUUCUGUGCCGCAGUCAACACAAUAAGCAUUCCGCCUGGGGAGUACGGCCGCAAGGGUGAAACUCAAAGGAAUUGACGGGGGCCCCGCACAAGCAGCGGAGCAUGUGGUUUAAUUCGACGCAACGCGAAGAACCUUACCAGGUCUUGACAUCCACUUAAACUUACAGAGAUGUAAGGUGUGCUUGCACAAAGUGAGACAGGUGGUGCAUGGUUGUCGUCAGCUCGUGUCGUGAGAUGUUGGGUUAAGUCCCGCAACGAGCGCAACCCUUAUCUUCAGUUACUAACGCGUAGAGGUGAGGACUCUGAAGAGACUGCCGGGGACAACUCGGAGGAAGGUGGGGACGACGUCAAAUCAUCAUGCCCCUUAUGACCUGGGCUACACACGUGCUACAAUGGCCACGACAGAGAGAAGCGAAAUCGCAAGGUAGAGCGGAACUCAAAAAAGUGGUCCCAGUUCGGAUUGUGGGCUGCAACCCGCCCACAUGAAGUCGGAGUUGCUAGUAAUCGCGGAUCAGCAUGCCGCGGUGAAUACGUUCCCGGGCCUUGUACACACCGCCCGUCACACCAUGGGAGUUGGGAGUGCCCAAAGCCGGUGAGGCAACCGCAAGGAGCCAGCCGUCUAAGGCAAGACCAAUGACUGGGGUGAAGUCGUAACAAGGUAGCCGUAUCGGAAGGUGCGGCUG